GUUCUGAUUGAUCAAAAUGGUUUAGCUUGAUUUGACCUAAAUCGGCUAGAUUGUGUUCUAACCAAAUUAGUUUAAAUUGCACCUGGACUCACUGCUGGCUAGAUGUGGAACCCAAUGGGUCACACACAAAGGGAAUUGAUCAUGGGUUUAAUUUGAUUAAAUUAUGUUUGCAAGUUGAACAUGCUAGCACAUGUUGCAAACCCUAGCAUUUAGAUUCGAAUCGAAUUCGAAUCGGGUUUCGAUUUGGGCUAAUUUAGAACCAAUUUGAGCCAAAUUGGAUUUGGUCUUGAAGUGGGUUUGAAAUGUUUUAAUUGGGCUUGCUGUUGGGUGCCAAAAACCAGGGAACCACAUGCCUAAGAGUCUCUCUCUUGGCGUGUGGAUUUAAAUCCAUGCGCAUGAGCCACAUGGCGCAUGGAUGGAGUUGGCGCCACCUUUAGAUAAGGUCUAUCC
rnacentral:lncRNA from 1 species